UACGGAGGGUGCAAGCGUUAUCCGGAUUCACUGGGUUUAAAGGGAGCGUAGGCGGAAUAAUAAGUCAGUGGUGAGAGCCCCGGGCUCAACUUGGGAAUUGCCAUUGAUACUGUUAUUCUUGAGUUCGGUUGAGGUAGGCGGAAUGUUGCAUGUAGCGGUGAAAUCCUUAGAUAUGCACCAGAACACCGCUUGCGAGGGCAGCUUACCAAGCCGACACUGACGCUGAGGCUCGAAAGCGUGGGGAUCAAACAGG
rnacentral:rRNA from 1 species